CAAUACUUGGUGGCGACCGGCGCACGGGUGAGUAACGCGUAUGCAACCUACCUAUCGAGAGGGGAAGUAACCCGGCGAAAGUCGGACUAAUACCGCAUAAAACAGGGGCACCGCAUGGUGAUAUUUGUUAAAGAAAUUCGCUGAUAGAUGGGCAUGCGUUCCAUUAGGUAGUUGGUGAGGUAACGGCUCACCAAGCCGACGAUGGAUAGGGUACUGAGAGGUUGGUCCCCCACCACUGGUACUGAGACACGGACCAGACUCCUACGGGAGGCAGCAGUGAGGAAUAUUGGUCAAUGGGCGAGAGCCUGAACCAGCCAAGUCGCCGUGAAGGAAGAAGGAUCUAUGGUUCGUAAACUUCUUUUGCAGGGGAAUAAAGUGCAGGACGUGUCCUGUUUUGUAUGUACCCUGAGAAUAAGGAUCGGCUAACUCCGUGCCAGCCGCAGC
rnacentral:rRNA from 1 species